rnacentral:lncRNA from 1 species
CACCACAUUUGUCGUGGAGACAGUUGGAAGGCACCAGAGCUGUGGUCGAGCUUCUGGUUGCUUGUUUCAUGGAGAACCGGGGGUGGUGAGUGGGAAAGUGCAAGAGAGAGUUUGGUGCUCUAGGGUCCCCGUUUAUCAACGAACGAUGGCCUUUACUAUUUCAUAGUUUUGUUCAAUUUUACAACCUUUUGCCUUAUUUUGUUUGAUGGGAACAUGUGCCCUAGAGUGGAGGCCAUGCCUUGACUUUUUUCCCACUCAUUGAGGUUCAAUUCACACUUACGCCCAUUUUUGCACCUGAAGUCCGCUUUAGACCAUAAUUGUUCCCGUAGUUUCAUCAUGGCUGUGGACAGUGGAGAGUCCACAUUUCAGAUACCUCCAGAAAGCUC